CCAAGUGGGGAAUAGUUAAAAGUUCUUGUAGUUUGAGUAAGAUUGUUUACUUGUCACAACUUAAAAGCUUCACCUUUCAGAAGGCAUGAUAAGAUUGCUGUAUUCUUCCUUAAAAUACUGUGGCAAAGUGAGUUCCUGCUCUGUAUCACUAUGUCUUCAUUUCCUCUUACAUCUCUUCCACUGUUAGAGUAGCCUGUAAAAGCUUUAGUUAUGCACCUUUUAACAUGACUCAAAUAUUCAUGAAGUUAAUCAGGGGCUGACAACACUUCUAUUUGUUUCUUCAACUGGAAGUGCCCACUACAACCUAAAGAUUACAACUGUGAGAAGCCAAAGGCUAUUACAGCUUCAGAGGCCUGGGCUGACCUGCCCUGUGCAGGCUGCAAUGGCUGGGGAUGCUGGUGUGUGUCUAAUGAGAAGUUGCUGCACGGGCUGUGUGGCUGGGAGCAGUGCACACUCACACUGCUAAAGGUUUUCUCCUGGCCCUGAAUCUGUGAUCCUAUUUGUAGUUCUCUAAUUGCAACCAGCAGAAGACAAGGGUGAUGUUGGUUUUUAUGACUUGUUGCUUAGCAGCGUUGAUCAACAGAAGUCCAACCUUUUCUUUUGCUGUGACCUCGGUGAACCCGGCCUUGGCCAGAGCUCACCAGUGGGGAACAAGAGUUUCUGAAGCUGUGUGAAACUCCUGUGCUGUGCCUUGUUAGCAGUGGCUGAGGGAAGCAUCUCUUCUUGACCUCCUGGUUACCUUUGCCCUUUACUCCUCUUUCUCUCUCUUAUCACAUCUUAGAAGAAAGCAGGCACCGUCCUAGGAAGAUUUGGAGGAUGGGAAAUACAGGGACAAGUUAACUGUACUAAGAUGUAUCCUGCCUCUUUUCAGGAAAAGGAACUAAGCUGGUUCCCAGACUGUGAUGUCAGACCUCCUCUCAUGGAAGGAGAAGGACUUCAGCCAUCACAAAGGGAUUUCACAAACCAAACCAGAAGUGGUAUUGAAUGUGGUUGAAAAUGAUUGAAGGUCUGCACUGAAUGUGUGCCUUUAUCUGAUCACAUCUGGCAAAGCCUGUAAAAUAAGAGCAAGGAGAGAAGUGGGGAACUCUGGUUAAGAUCAAUAAGCUUUUAGAAACAGGAGUUUCAGGAAAGGUAAAAAAUCUGUUUUUUGUUGUUUAUGAGUGGUACCAUGCAGCAUGUAUAACCUGACUGGUUCUUUCUGUGUGCAGUGGCAAUAGAAACUGAUUAGAUUUGAAAAUUAAUGUUUCAGCCUUCAAAUAUUGUUGUCCUUGACUUUUCCUUUUCAUUAUCUAUUAGAAUGUGACAUUCUCAGAAAUGAAGGAGUCUUUAAUGUGGGCCUCUUUAGUAUUGUCAUUUCCACAGCUGCAGCAAUGGAGCAGAGCAUGGCUACUGUACAGCACUAGUAUGACUAAAAGCCACUGAAUGCUUUA